rnacentral:rRNA from 1 species
CCUACGGGCGGCAGCAGUGGGGAAUAUUGGACAAUGGGGGGAACCCUGAUCCAGCCAUGCCGCGUGUGUGAAGAAGGCCCUCGGGUUGUAAAGCACUUUCAGUGAGGAAGAACGCCUGGUGGUUAAUACCCAUCAGGAAAGACAUCACUCACAGAAGAAGCACCGGCUAACUCCGUGCCAGCAGCCGCGGUAAUACGGAGGGUGCGAGCGUUAAUCGGAAUUACUGGGCGUAAAGCGCGCGUAGGUGGCUUGAUAAGCCGGUUGUGAAAGCCCCGGGCUCAACCUGGGAACGGCAUCCGGAACUGUCAAGCUAGAGUGCAGGAGAGGAAGGUAGAAUUCCCGGUGUAGUGGUGAAAUGCGUAGAGAUCGGGAGGAAUACCAGUGGCGAAGGCGGCCUUCUGGACUGACACUGACACUGAGGUGCGAAAGCGUGGGUAGCAAACAGGAUUAGAUACCCCAGUAGUC